UUGGCACCACCAGGAGUGGAGCCUGCGGGUUAAUUUGCCUCAACACCGGCAAACUCCCCCGGCCCGGACACCGGGAGGAUUGACAGAUUGAUAGGUCUUUCACGAUUCGGCGGCUGGUGGUGCAUGGCCGCUCUUAGUUCGUGGAUCGAUUUGUCUGGUUUAUUCCGAUAGAGAGCGAGACUCUAGCCUACUAAAUGGUAACGAGAUUACCACUGUCUCGCUUGCUUCUUAGAGGGAUUUUCCGUGGUUAGCCGCCCGAGAUUGAGCAAUAACAGGUCUGUGAUGCUCUUAGAUGUGCGGGGCUGCACGCGUGAUACACUGGGAAAAUCGUCGUGCAAUAUCCAUUCUCGAAAGAGAUUGGUAAACCCAUGAAAAUUUGCCGUGAUUGGGAUCCGAAAUUGCGAUUAUUUUCCGUGAACGAUCUAUUCCAAGUAAGUGCGAGUCAUCAACUCGCGUUGAUUACGUCGCUGCUCUUCGCACACACCGGCCGUCGCUGGACGGAACUGACCCAUAUACAGA
rnacentral:rRNA from 1 species